rnacentral:rRNA from 1 species
UACGGGGGGGGCAAGCGUUGUUCGGAAUUACUGGGCGUAAAGGGUUCGUAGGUGGCCAACUAAGUCAGACGUGAAAUCCCCGAGCUCAACUCGGGAACUGCGUCCGAUACUGGCGGGCUUGAAUCCGGGAGAGGGAUGCGGAAUUCCAGGUGUAGCGGUGAAAUGCGUAGAUAUCUGGAGGAACACCGGUGGCGAAGGCGGCAUCCUGGACCGGCAUUGACGCUGAGGCGCGAAAGCUAGGGGAGCAAACGGG